GCGCCUGUAGCUCAAUGGAUAGAGCAAUAGCCUUCUAAGCUAUUGGCUGUAGGUUCGAUUCCUACCAGGCGCACCA
rnacentral:tRNA from 2 species